UACGUAGGGUGCAAGCGUUAAUCGGAAUUACUGGGCGUAAAGCGUGCGCAGGCGGUUUUGUAAGUCUGUCGUGAAAUCCCCGGGCUCAACCUGGGAAUUGCGAUGGAGACUGCAAGGCUGGAGUCUGGCAGAGGGGGGUAGAAUUCCACGUGUAGCAGUGAAAUGCGUAGAGAUGUGGAGGAACACCGAUGGCGAAGGCAGCCCCCUGGGUCAAGACUGACGCUCAUGCACGAAAGCGUGGGGAGCGAACAGG
rnacentral:rRNA from 1 species